rnacentral:lncRNA from 1 species
AAGAACUGAGGAGACUGUGGCAGAGUAUGCCGUUGAAGAUAUGCUGCCACUUUCAACAGUGGAUUCUACAUAUUUUAGAAAAAUUGUGAGGAAGAUCCCCAUCCAGGCUAGCAAUGACAAGGAGGUUUUGAGGUUUGCGAUGAACACUGUUGUGGAAUGAAGCACAUAUACCACAUAUGUGCAAGAAGGGAAGUAACAGAGCACGAGAUGGACAAAGGACAAUUGACAUGGCUCGAUGAUGUGUUGGAUGACACAAAAUCACCAGACGAGGCAAUUGGUCAAGUGGGCACCACAGUUUUAAAAAAAAUUGGACUUCCUGUCCCUGGGAUUGGACAGAGAAGUGGAGGCAACAGUUAGUACACUUUUAAUAACAGAAAUAUUUGAAAAUUGUUUAGUAAAAUGUCUUUGUAAUCCGUAAAACAUUCUGUUGUUUUAUUACAGGUUGUCAGCUGUUGUUUAUCUCUGAUCAUCAAGAUUGCUG